ACGUACACUCCUACGGGAGGCAGCAGUGGGGAAUAUUGCACAAUGGGCGCAAGCCUGAUGCAGCCAUGCCGCGUGUAUGAAGAAGGCCUUCGGGUUGUAAAGUACUUUCAGCGGGGAGGAAGGUGUUGAGGUUAAUAACCUCAGCAAUUGACGUUACCCGCAGAAGAAGCACCGGCUAACUCCGUGCCAGCAGCCGCGGUAAUACGGAGGGUGCAAGCGUUAAUCGGAAUUACUGGGCGUAAAGCGCACGCAGGCGGUCUGUCAAGUCGGAUGUGAAAUCCCCGGGCUCAACCUGGGAACUGCAUUCGAAACUGGCAGGCUAGAGUCUUGUAGAGGGGGGUAGAAUUCCAGGUGUAGCGGUGAAAUGCGUAGAGAUCUGGAGGAAUACCGGUGGCGAAGGCGGCCCCCUGGACAAAGACUGACGCUCAGGUGCGAAAGCGUGGGGAGCAAACAGGAUUAGAAACCCGGGUAGUCCCAUGA
rnacentral:rRNA from 1 species